CUCAAUGUUUGGAAAAGAAUGACACCAACAAAGGAACCACUGAUG
rnacentral:sRNA from 1 species